UUGCCAGCCCGCUCAGAAACUUCAAGGAAUUGACGGGGCCCGCACAAGCGGAGGAGCAUGUGGUUUAAUUCGAUGAUACGCGAGGAACCUUACCUGGGCUCGAACGUAAGAUGACUGUAGGUGAAAGCUUACAUCUCUUCGGAGCAUUUUACGAGGUGCUGCAUGGUUGUCGUCAGCUCGUGCCGUGAGGUGUCGGGUUAAGUCCCAUAACGAGCGCAACCCCUACCUUUAGUUGCCAUCAGGUUAAGCUGGGGACUCUAAAGGAACUGCCUACGCAAGUAGUGAGGAAGGCGGGGAUGACGUCAAAUCAGCACGGCCCUUACGUCCAGGGCUACACACGUGCUACAAUGGCCGAUACAGAGGGCAGCUACCUGGUGACAGGAUGCAAAUCUCCAAAGUCGGUCUCAGUUCGGAUCGGAGUCUGCAACCCGACUCCGUGAAGUUGGAAUCGCUAGUAAUCGCGCAUCAGCCAUGGCGCGGUGAAUACGUUCCCGGGCCUU
rnacentral:rRNA from 1 species